UACGUAGGGGGCAAGCGUUGUCCGGAAUCAUUGGGCGUAAAGCGCGUGUAGGCGGCUCGAUAAGUCUGCUGUGAAAGUCCAGGGCUCAACCCUGGAAAGCCGGUGGAAACUGUCGGGCUAGAGUCCGGAAGAGGCGAGUGGAAUUCCUGGUGUAGCGGUGAAAUGCGCAGAGAUCAGGAGGAACACCAAUGGCGAAGGCAGCUCGCUGGGACGGUACUGACGCUGAGGAGCGAAAGCGUGGGGAGCGAACAGG
rnacentral:rRNA from 1 species